rnacentral:rRNA from 1 species
CGGUCGUAGUACUCAAGAGAGUUUUGUACUCCUGGCGUACAGGACGAACGCUGGCGGCGUGCUUAACACAUGCAAGUCGAACGAAGUGAAGACCUUAGCUUGCUAGGUGGAUUAGUGGCGAACGGGUGAGUAAUACGUGAGUAACCUACCUUUAACGUCUGGGAUAAGCCUGGGAAACUGGGUCUAAUACCGGAUACGCCAAUCUCCGCAUGGGGUGUUGGUGGAAAGCGUUAUGUAGUGGUUAUAGAUGGGCUCACGGCCUAUCAGCUUGUUGGUGAGGUAACGGCUCACCAAGGCGACGACGGGUAGCCGGCCUGGGAGGGUGACCGGCCACACUGGGACUGAGACACGGCCCAGACUCCUACGGGAGGCAGCAGUGGGGAAUAUUGCACAAUGGGCGCAAGCCUGAUGCAGCGACGCCGCGUGAGGGAUGACGGCCUUCGGGUUGUAAACCUCUGUUAGCAGGGAAGAAGAGAGAUUGACGGUACCUGCAGAGAAAGCGCCGGCUAACUACGUG